ensembl:lncRNA
UACUCCAAUGGGGGCAGCCAAACCGUCUGGGAUAGAACUGCUAUGCUUGCCAAUAGAGCUGGACAUUCUUCAGCUUUGAUAACACCUGAUCUAUGUGUCAAUAUUUUACCUCUACUGUUAACGCACAGUGCAAUACUUACUGCAAUAUUUACCACCAAAUACACACACACGAGUGAAACCCUGACCUUUUGUUAGAGGGUCUUGUUAAAAUAGCUUUCCUCAGUGGUGGAGUCCAGUCUAAAUCUGUGAGGAACCACUGAUAAAGGUAAUAGGUAAGGGAUGUGGUGUGGUGUUGUUAGUACACCUAAUUGCCCUCCUUUUAGGAUAAAUUCCUGCUUAUAGACCUGUCAGUCAGCUUGUUUUCACUCUUACUUCAUUGCUCUUUCUUUCUUUUCUGUAUGAUAUUCAUUAUCCAUCGAAUAAAAAAGAACAGUCCAAAUGAUAGCA